CUUUCAACAAAAGAUUUCUGAAGCCACCAUAGGUAACAUACAGCUGCCCAUGCCUCCCUCUUUGUAGAAGAGUUUCCGGGAGAAGCCUCGGGAGGGCUAAUCAAGAUAUUAAAUUUACUCACAGACAACCUGUGUCAAUGCCUGGUAGCAAGUUGGGUGUUCAAUGGAAAUGAAAGAUUAGAAGACCAUUUAGAUGGCUUGGUGGGCAGAGUGCUCACCAACAAGUCUGAGGAACUGAUACCCAGAAUCCACCUGGUGUAAAGACAAAAAAUGACCUCCUGAAAGAUGCCUUCUGACCUCUGCACGGAUGCUAUGGCCCAGUCCACACCUGCUUGUCUUUCUACUGUGUUCAUUGUUUCCUCUACAGUGGAACGGCUUUCAAGCUACAUACAAUCUCAUUUACUGGUUUCUGCGUUGUUGUCUAUGCUAGGG
ensembl:lncRNA